UAAUACCCAAGGGAUGGGGUUCCCUUUAAAUCUGCGCUGGUGCAGUGAUGACCCCUACGCGGGG
rnacentral:ncRNA from 1 species